rnacentral:rRNA from 1 species
UACGUAGGGUGCGAGCGUUGUCCGGAAUUACUGGGCGUAAAGAGCUCGUAGGUGGUUUGGCGCGUUGUUCGUGAAAACUCACAGCUUAACUGUGGGCGUGCGGGCGAUACGGGCAGACUGGAGUACUGCAGGGGAGACUGGAAUUCCUGGUGUAGCGGUGGAAUGCGCAGAUAUCAGGAGGAACACCGGUGGCGAAGGCGGGUCGCUGGGCAGUAACUGACGCUGAGGAGCGAAAGCGUGGGGAGCGAACGGG